rnacentral:rRNA from 1 species
CGUCUAACGUAGCGAAAAGCUCCGUAACACGUGGCCAAACUACCCUGUGGAGGACGAUAACCUCGGGAAACUGAGGCUAAUAGUCCAUACGACACUCAUGCUGGAAUGCAGAGUGGCAGAAAUGCUCCGGCGCCACAGGAUGUGGCUGCGGCCGAUUAGGUAGACGGUGGGGUAACGGCCCACCGUGCCGAUAAUCGGUACGGGUUGUGAGAGCAAGAGCCCGGAGACGGAAUCUGAGACAAGAUUCCGGGCCCUACGGGGCGCAGCAGGCGCGAAACCUUUACACUGCACGCCAGUGCGAUAAGGGGACCCCGAGUGCGAGGGCAUACUAGCCCUCGCUUUUCUGAACCGUAAGGAGGUUCAGGAACAAGAGCUGGGCAAGACCGGUGCCAGCCGCCGCGGUAAUACCGGCAGCUCGAGUGAUGACCGCUGUUAUUGGGCCUAAAGCGUCCGUAGCUGGCCAUGCAAGUUCGUCGGGAAAUCCACUAGUCAACU